CCGCACAAGCGGUGGAGCAUGUGGUUAAUUCGAAGCAACGCGAAGAACCUUACCAGGUCUUGACAUCCCGAUGCUUAUUUCUAGAGAUAGAAAGUUACUUCGGUACAUCGGUGACAGGUGGUGCAUGGUUGUCGUCAGCUCGUGUCGUGAGAUGUUGGGUUAAGUCCCGCAACGAGCGCAACCCCUAUUGUUAGUUGCCAUCAUUCAGUUGGGCACUCUAGCGAGACUGCCGGUAAUAAACCGGAGGAAGGUGGGGAUGACGUCAAAUCAUCAUGCCCCUUAUGACCUGGGCUACACACGUGCUACAAUGGUUGGUACAACGAGUUGCGAGUCGGUGACGGCGAGCUAAUCUCUUAAAGCCAAUCUCAGUUCGGAUUGUAGGCUGCAACUCGCCUACAUGAAGUCGGAAUCGCUAGUAAUCGCGGAUCAGCACGCCGCGGUCGAAUACGUUCCCGGGCCUU
rnacentral:rRNA from 1 species